rnacentral:rRNA from 1 species
UACGUAGGCAGCGAGCGUUGUUCGGAGUUACUGGGCGUAAAGGGUGUGUAGGCGGUUUUCUAAGUUUGGUGUGAAAUCUCCGGGCUUAACUCGGAAAGGUCAACUGAUACUGCUCGACUAGAGUGCGGAAGGGGCAACUGGAAUUCUUGGUGUAGCGGUGAAAUGCGUAGAUAUCAAGAGGAACACCUGCGGCGAAGGCGGGUUGCUGGGCCGACACUGACGCUGAAGUGCGAAAGCCAGGGGAGCGAACGGG